GACGAACGCUGGCGGCGUGCUUAACACAUGCAAGUCGAACGGAAAGGCCCUGCUUUUGUGGGGUGCUCGAGUGGCGAACGGGUGAGUAACACGUGAGUAACCUGCCCUUGACUUUGGGAUAACUUCAGGAAACUGGGGCUAAUAUCGGAUAGGAGCUCCUGCUGCAUGGUGGGGGUUGGAAAGUUUCGGCGGUUGGGGAUGGACUCGCGGCUUAUCAGCUUGUUGGUGGGGUAGUGGCUUACCAAGGCUUUGACGGGUAGCCGGCCUGAGAGGGUGACAGGCCACAUUGGGACUGAGAUACGGCCCAGACUCCUACGGGAGGCAGCAGUGGAGAGUAUUGCACAGUGGGCGGGAGCCUGAUGCAGCAACGCCGCGUGCGGGAUGACGGCCUUCGGGUUGUAAACCGCUUUCGCCUGUGACGAGGCGUGAGUGACGGUAAUGGGUAAAGAAGCACCGGCUAACUACGUG
rnacentral:rRNA from 1 species